UAUUCAUUUUUUCCUAAAAAAUCAGCCUUUUGCAUGCUUAAUUAUGCCUUUACCUUUAUUGCUACAUGUGCAAGUUAGGCAAAGGCAUUAAUUAAGCAUGCAAAAGGCUGAUUUUUUUAGGAAAAAAUGUAA